rnacentral:rRNA from 1 species
UACGGAGGGUGCGAGCGUUGUCCGGAAUCAUUGGGCGUAAAGGGCGCGUAGGUGGCCUGGUCAGUUCGUGGUGAAAGCGCGGGGCUCAACUCCGCGUCGGCCAUGAAUACUGCUGGGCUUGAGCACUGUAGAGGCAGGCGGAAUUCCGGGUGUAGCGGUGAAAUGCGUAGAUAUCUGGAGGAACACCGGUGGCGAAGGCGGCGUCCUGGACCAACACUGACACUGAUGAGCGAAAGCCAGGGGAGCAAACGGG